rnacentral:rRNA from 1 species
GAUGAACGCUGGCGGCGUGCCUAAUACAUGCAAGUCGAGCGAACGGAUGAGAAGCUUGCUCCUCUGACGUUAGCGGCGGACGGGUGAGUAACACGUGGAUAACCUACCUAUAAGACUGGGAUAACUUCGGGAAACCGGAGCUAAUACCGGAUGAUAUAUUGAACCGCAUGGUUCAAUAGUGAAAGACGGUUUUGCUGUCACUUAUAGAUGGAUCCGCGCCGCAUUAGCUAGUUGGUAAGGUAACGGCUUACCAAGGCAACGAUGCGUAGCCGACCUGAGAGGGUGAUCGGCCACACUGGAACUGAGACACGGUCCAGACUCCUACGGGAGGCAGCAGUAGGGAAUCUUCCGCAAUGGGCGAAAGCCUGACGGAGCAACGCCGCGUGAGUGAUGAAGGUCUUCGGAUCGUAAAACUCUGUUAUUAGGGAAGAACAAAUGUGUAAGUAACUGUGCACGUCUUGACGGUACCUAAUCAGAAAGCCACGGCUAACUACGUG